rnacentral:tRNA from 3 species
GGAGAGGUGGUAGAGUGGUCGAUUGCGCUCGACUUGAAAUCGAGUGAACCGAAAGGUUCCGUGGGUUCAAAUCCCACCCUCUCCG